AAAAGAAAAAAAAAAAAUCUAUUAUUAUACAAGGCUAAUAAAGUAUAAAAGAAAGACAACAAUAUCAUAACAUUCAUCCUGGCU
rnacentral:ribozyme from 11 species